AUUGAACGCUGGCGGCAGGCCUAACACAUGCAAGUCGAGCGAGCGGCGGACGGGUGAGUAAUGUAUGUGGGCUGCCAGAUAGAGGGGGAGAACUACUGGAAAAGGUAGCUAAUACUGCAUACUAUCGGAUAACCCAUAUGGGAUUAGCUAGUAGGUGAGGUAAUGGCUCACCUAGGCGACGAUCCAUAGCUGGUCUGAGAGGAUGAUCAGCCACACUGGGACUGAGACACGGCCCAGACUCCUACGGAGGCAGCAGUAGGGAAUAUUGCGCAAUGGGCGCAAGCCUGAUGCAGCCAUGCCGCGUGUAUGAAGAAGGCCCUAGGGUUGUAAAGUACUGUCAGUCGGGAGGCGUUACCGACAGAAGAAGCACCGGCUAACUCCGUGCCAGCAGCCGCGGUAAUAC
rnacentral:rRNA from 1 species